UCCAACUUACUUCAACAUGACAGAGCGGAGAGGGUAUGCAGUACAUUCACAGGAUAAUUGACUGCAACAGGAAAUAAACACUCUAAGUCUCCCUUCAUAUCAAAUAUAAUUCAAAAGUUAAGUGACUACUGAUGUACCCUUACAAAAGUUUGCAUCAAGAGACCUGAUCAGUGAAAAAUAUAGAACAAAUAAUAGGAAGCAGUCCCUGAGGAAGGAAUCAUAUAACUAAACCUUAGUGAUUAUAUCAUUCUUUUCAUAAGCCAUGUCACAAGUCUCAAAUGUCUGGUAAAUAAAUGUUAACUUCUAAAUUUCA
rnacentral:lncRNA from 1 species